rnacentral:rRNA from 1 species
UUGGAGGGCAAGUCUGGUGCCAGCAGCCGCGGUAAUUCCAGCUCCAAUAGCGUAUAUUAAAGUUGUUGCAGUUAAAAAGCUCGUAGUUGAAUUUCAGGAUCAAAGAAUCGGUCAUGCCUUGGUAUGUACUGGUUUUAUUGGUUCUCACCUUCUAAAGAACCAUAAUGUCAUUCAUUUGAUGUUAUGGGGAAUUAGGACUGUUACCUUGAAAAAAUUAGAGUGUUUAAAGCAGGCUUACGCUUGAAUACAUUAGCAUGGAAUAAUGAAAUAGGACAUCAGAUUCUAUUUUGUUGGUUUCUAGGAUCGAUGUAAUGAUUAAUAGGGAUAGUUGGGGGCAUUAGUAUUCAAUUGUCAGAGGUGAAAUUCUUGGAUUUAUUGAAGACUAACUACUGCGAAAGCAUUUGCCAAGGAUGUUUUCAUUAAUCAAGAACGAAAGUUAGGGGAUCGAAGACGAUCAGAUACCGUCGUAGUCUUAACCAUAAACUAUGCCGACUAGGGAUCGGAUGAUGUUAAUUUUUAAUGUACUC